UUUUUUUCUCUUCAAGUUUGUUUUCCCAGUUCCAAAAUAGCUUUGUAACUCGAUUCUUCUCUCUCCCCCCUUGAAGUGGGAACAAAACUUGAAUAGAAGACUGGCAGGCUAGCCAAUGUAAAAUGUACUUUUGAUUGGAACGGAAUGGUGAUAAUGUAGAAUCUUCUUAAUUUCUUCUUGUCUUCAGUUGAUUGAUAUAUAUACGUCUUUUGUAUAUAUAUUCUUGGGCCAAAUGCUCGCCACAAUAAUAUAUGUCUAUAUUAUUGAAAAGUAGUAAU